AGGAUAAACGCUGGCGGCGUGCAUAACGCAUGCAAGUCGAACGAUGAAACUUAGAUGAUUUCUUCGGAAUGAACUUAAGCGGAUUAGUGGCGAACGGGUGAGUAACACGUGAGUAACCUGCCUUACACAAGGGGAUAGCCUUUGGAAACGAAGAAUAAUACCCUAUAACGUCAAUUUAUCGCAUGAUAGAAUGACCAAAGAUUUAUCGGUGUAAGAUGGACUUGCGUCUGAUUAGCUAGUUGGUGAGAUAAAGGCCCACCAAGGCAACGAUCAGUAGCCGGCUUGAGAGAGUGUACGGCCACAUUGGGACUGAGACACGGCCCAAACUCCUACGGGAGGCAGCAGUGGGGAAUUUUGCACAAUGGGGGAAACCCUGAUGCAGCGACGCCGCGUGAUUUAGAAGGCCUUCGGGUUGUAAAAAUCUUUUUUAUGGGAUGAAAAUGACAGUACCAUAAGAAUAAGGUCCGGCUAAAUACGUGCCAGCAGCCGCGGUAAUACGUAUGGACCGAGCGUUGUCCGGAAUCAUUGGGCGUAAAGGGUACGUAGGCGGCCCAGUAAGUUAGAAGUGAAAUAAUAUAGCUCAACUAUAUAAAGCUUUUAAAACUGCUAGGCUUGAGAGAUGGAAGGGAAAGUGGAAUUCCUAGUGUAGCGGUGAAAUGCGCAGAUAUUAGGAAGAAUACCGGUGGCGAAGGCGACUUUCUGGUCAUCAUCUGACGCUGAGGUACGAAAGCGUGGGUAGCAAACAGGAUUAGAUACCCUGGUAGUCCACGCUGUAAACGAUGAGUGUUAGGUUCUUGGAAUAAUCUGGGAGCCGCAGCUAACGCAUUAAACACUCCGCCUGGGGAGUACGCACGCAAGUGUG
rnacentral:rRNA from 1 species